CUCUGCCUUCGUGAGUGGUGCUGCGUGAGCCUUUGGGAAGCUUCCCGCUGCCGUGCCCCACCCCUUGCUGCAGCUCCCAGAUGCGCGGGUGGCUCUGCACCAGGCACGGGGCUGAAGAUCUUUUCAUUGGACUGCAAAGCAGACACUGCUGUUUCCCAGGCUGUGGAUGAGGAAACAGGCUCAGAAAGGAGAAGCCUCUUCCUGGCAGCCUCCAAUAGGCCUUCGUGGGACUAUAAAACCAAGUUUGUCUCCCGUGUUUCCUAGUCCUCAGGCAGUAAAAUAUUGGUCAAAGCUCCAGGAUGAACGUCUGAAGCCCUGGAAAACCCUCUCUGACUCUCCUGGGGCAGAGCUGCUCUCAUUCUGGCCUCCCAUUGUUUGCCGCUAAGAAUGUCCUGGACACAGACUUAAUGGCAGGCACCAGGAACGCUGCGCUGAAUGAGACCAAAUCAGACCCCAUGCUGAGGAACCCACAUUCUACCCAGGGAGGCCAGCACCAACCCAUCUCACAAUGAUUUAAUUAAAAGUCACCAAGAUGCACUGACCACCUGUCUGCACUAUGUGCUUU